UGAGUAACCUGCCCCUGACUUCGGGAUAAGCCCGGGAAACUGGGUCUAAUACCGGAUACGACUGCCGGACGCAUGUCUGGUGGUGGAAAGUUUUUUCGGUUGGGGAUGGGCUCGCGGCCUAUCAGUUUGUUGGUGAGGUAAUGGCUCACCAAGACGACGACGGGUAGCCGGCCUGAGAGGGCGACCGGCCACACUGGGACUGAGACACGGCCCAGACUCCUACGGGAGGCAGCAGUGGGGAAUAUUGCACAAUGGGGGAAACCCUGAUGCAGCGACGCAGCGUGCGGGAUGACGGCCUUCGGGUUGUAAACCGCUUUCAGCAGGGAAGAAGCGCAAGUGACGGUACCUGCAGAAGAAGUACCGGCUAACUACGUGCCAGCAGCCGCGGUAAUACGUAGGGUACGAGCGUUGUCCGGAAUUAUUGGGCGUAAAGAGCUCGUAGGUGGUUGGUCACGUCUGCUGUGGAAACGCAACGCUUAACGUUGCGCGUGCAGUGGGUACGGGCUGACUAGAGUGCAGUAGGGGAGUCUGGAAUUCCUGGUGUAGCGGUGAAAUGCGCAGAUAUCAGGAGGAACACCGGUGGCGAAGGCGGGACUCUGGGCUGUAACUGACACUGAGGAGCGAAAGCAUGGGGAGCGAACAGGAUUAGAUACCCUGGUAGUCCAUGCCGUAAACGUUGGGCACUAGGUGUGGGGGGCAUUCCACGUUCUCCGCGCCGUAGCUAACGCAUUAAGUGCCCCGCCUGGGGAGUACGGUCGCAAGGCUAAAACUCAAAGGAAUUGACGGGGGCCCGCACAAGCGGCGGAGCAUGCGGAUUAAUUCGAUGCAACGCGAAGAACCUUACCAAGGCUUGACAUACACCAGACCGUCCUGGAAACAGGUCCUCUUCUUUGAAGCUGGUGUACAGGUGGUGCAUGGUUGUCGUCAGCUCGUGUCGUGAGAUGUUGGGUUAAGUCCCGCAACGAGCGCAACCCUCGUUCUAUGUUGCCAGCACGUGAUGGUGGGAACUCAUAGGAGACUGCCGGGGUCAACUCGGAGGAAGGUGGGGAUGACGUCAAAUCAUCAUGCCCUUUAUGUCUUGGGCUUCACGCAUGCUACAAUGGCUGGUACAGAGAGAGGCG
rnacentral:rRNA from 1 species